CCAAGGACACACUAGAAAAGGAAGAUCUUCCAGGAGUAUCCGGGUCUCCUGGGCCUGAUCCUGGCCAACCCAGCCCCUCUCAGCCCCUUAAAUGCAACCCAGGAGAAGACAAUCUGGCCACAGCUGCUGGGGGCGAGGCAGUUAACUGCUACGGAGACUUCAACUACUUGCAGUCUUGGCUCUGCCAAUGGGUUUCACCACUAUGAAGGGCACAGGCUUUCCUAGCCAAUGCCAUUCUCCUCCUCCAGUAGUCUGAGGGGGUCCACUGGCCGAGGGCCAGUGUGGCCUAGGAGAGGAACCUGAUGGCUCCAGUGCAAAUGUUAAAGGAGGGUCUGGAGCUGUCCCCUGAGCAAGUGUCAUUACAGCCAAAUGUUUGCCUUCAUUCCUUCAGGGCCUGCAUAGAAACUAUGCAGGAGUCCCUAUUAUACUACAGUGUGAAGAAUCAAAAGGUGAAAUGAACAUAAACUUGGCAGGCUUAAAUAAUCUUCAUCCUUUGGGAGCCCCAUUGCAAAGCCACCCUGCCAGCUCCUUUAUAAGAGAACAUUUGGCAAGAAGCUACCACCCUAAGCAGGGACACGAAGGAGUUCUGAUAUCAGAGAGGCAGCAGCUGAGGCGCUGCACAGACCAGCCUCCCAGCUCUCUUGAGUCUGUGAAGGAAGAGUGGAGCUCUGAGAAAGAACAGCAACACACGACCUCUUCCAAUGAUUCCUCUUAGCAGCACAAGGCACCAAGACAGCUGUGCAUGGAGAAUAGCCCUGGGCCCGAGUGGCUGACAGUCCCAAGGCCAGAGAAUCUCAGCUCAGCUCAGCCACUUGGCUCUCAGACCCCAAGGAAAGCAAAUAAUGCUGGGCCAGGGUGGCAGCUUGGAGGAGAGACCAGUGCCCCAGCCAGGCUCAUCAUCAAGGGGCUCAUGUCCACUAGAUGCUGCUUAGAGAACACACUCUCACUUGAAUAAAGAUUGUGUAAAGGGGAUAUGGGAUAGGGUCCCACUAGAGUCAUGCCGUAUGGUACCAGCUCCGUCCCAAGGCAGCAGCAGCCCUCCCAGCCUCUUUAGAAGGGACGUCCUGUGACUCACCACCAAGGGAGACGAGUUUCUCUGCACCGAGGGGCACGGCCCCCUUUUUAGGGACACAAUCCAGGGCACAAAGUUAAUGUAUGUGACACCAGAUCCAUCAAACUAAGGCCUGGGGUAUAGCCCAGAGGUGUGCAAGGCCCUGGGUUCCAUCCCCUGUACCUCCCUUCCCCCACAGUAUCCAGAUUAACCAAACUGCUCACCAGGAGGCCAGCCCAUCAUGUGGGCCCAUGGAGCUGCAGGCAAACGCAGGAAUGUUCUCUUUUCGGCCAGUGACUGGCUACAGUGGGCAGAGAUAAUCCUUAGCCAACACUGUGGUCAGAAGGAAUUCAUUUCAGUGUAUGACUCUAUCCCUUGGCUCGCAUUUAAAACACGAAUCAACUAAUUAAGAAUUCAGUCACUCAAGAAUACCUGUGGAUAGGAAUUUCACUAUACAGGGUGAAUCUGAUAUUAAAGUAAGACAAGGAGACGCACAGAAAGUGGCCACAGCACACAUUUGGUUUCUCCCUGGCAGCCUCUGGCAUCAGUCAUAUCCGAGACAGGAGGACCAGGGGGCAUUGCCUGCUGGGCUCUGCUACUCAGGGACAGAGGGGAAGAGAGAUAGUUGGCUCCCUGGAAGGCAGGGACUGGCAGUCCCAAGGUUCCCUCCUUUUAAAAACAUAGAUCUAGAAAUGCCCUCUCAGCCCAGAGGACAGAGCCCACCUCCUGUUCUGAUAAAUACACAUACCCAGUGGGGAAAGGGGGAGGGGGCGGGUGGCCUCCAUACCCCGUGUUUACCAAGGAGCCCUGUGGAAAGUUUCCAUUUGGCAUCUGUGUAGCAGCAUCUUGGGUUAGCAAGAGCAAGGGUGGGCGGUGGGGACCAGCACCUGUGCUCCGGGCUUGGGGGGGAGGAGGGCUGGCUGAGCUGACACCCCAGGCUGGAGGAAUGCCAGGAUGAAGUCAACUUGCUUCUUGCCAAUGAUAAACCAUGGGUUUCAAAUUCAUUAACAUUCAUUUGGGUGAUCGAAAUUCCUUAGGGUGGGAGCAAAAAAAAAAAAAUCACAUUCCCAAGCAAAUGUUAAACUUUCCUAGGGGAAAAGGGAAUGGUUAAACAUUAAAUUCUCAGAACAACACUGAAUGCAGACCUGAGACCGCAGGUCCCUCUUGCAGCCUACACCCCACACUGACGACAGACUUGGCGGGUUCUGAAGUGACAUGGUUUUCUUCAUUCAUCCAUCAAGUUCCACAGCGACACCCACGGGGGCCCAGAAGAAGGCUGUCCCUUCUGGGGAGGGCCAAGGAAGGCCACUGGAGGGGACAAGUCCAUCCUGUUAGGGUCAUAUCAUAGGGUCACAGCAGAGUUCAACCAGAACAACCUGAAACUCUGCAAAAAAGACACUUU